rnacentral:rRNA from 1 species
CGCAUCUGACGCGAUGCCGGGUCCGGCGAAAGCCGCGUACUCGCUCGCAGUGCGCUACCUUCCGGGCGGCGCGCGGUGCCCUUCACUGGGUGCCGCGCACACUAGCCUACCGGGACUUUUACCUUGAGAAAAUUAGAGUGUUCAAAGCAGGCCGUCGCGCCUGAAUACAUUAGCAUGGGAUAAUAGAAUAGGACCGCGGUUCUAUUUUGUUGGUUCACAGGACCGCAGUA